UACGUAGGGUGCAAGCGUUGUCCGGAAUUAUUGGGCGUAAAGAGCUCGUAGGCGGUCUGUUGCGUCCGCUGUGAAAACUCGGGGCUUAACCCCGAGCCUGCAGUGGAUACGGGCAGACUAGAGGUAGGUAGGGGAGAAUGGAAUUCCUGGUGUAGCGGUGGAAUGCGCAGAUAUCAGGAGGAACACCGAUGGCGAAGGCAGGUCUCUGGGCCACUACUGACGCUGAGAAGCGAAAGCAUGGGGAGCGAACAGG
rnacentral:rRNA from 1 species